CCUCAAUCAACAGGUCUCAGCAUGGAGUUCAAAGGAGCGUGUGUGCUUCUGGGAUUUCUGCUACUGGUCAACUGCUCAUUUCAGCAGAAUCCAGCGAAGAAGCCCGUGAAAAAAACUAAAGACACGGCCGUCUAGGAGCUGCAGAAACAGAUCAACGACAUCGUCCACGAGCUCAACCUGCUGAAGGAACAACAAGCCCUGCAGACUGGUAACAACAUCAUGGAUCAUACGCUUGAUCUUUGUUGUAUUGAUAAAGGAGUACAAAUAAUUCAGCAAAUAAUGCCUCCGGCACCCAAACACCAGGACUUGUAUUCCUAAACCAGGUGAAAGGGGCAACGGCCUCCAAAAGCCCAGAGUGCACUGUGUGCCAAUCAGAUGACUCAUCAGUGACUCAUCCUUUAUUGGAAUUUGCAAAAAUAAACGACAUGCAGGUUCUCAUUAUGUAAUCUUAUAGCCCCGUCUUGUAUGGUUUGUUAAAACCUUGUAUUUAAGCUAGUCUUAAUAGUUAUAACUUGUUGUAAAAAGUCUAAUAGGUAUCUUCGAAAAAGAAAAAGAUACAAUAAAGCUUUACAGCUAUCCAGUCUAAAAACAAAAAAAUUCUUAACAUUUUAAAAAACAUUUACAACAAACUCCAUUAGAUCAGGGAAAGCCAUAAGAAUAAAAAAAGUUUGAAGAGUUUUAAAAGAGCGUGCCGAGUUUAGACUUUCAUAACCGAGGGGAUUAAACGUCACCCUCAGAGACAUGGCAUAGUUUUAUUUAUAUAUUUUAGUUUAUAGUUCUCGUGGCGCAUGCAUAUAGUUGUUUGAAUAAAAUUACCACGCGACAAAUCAACUAGGUUCUUGUGUGUUCACCCGUGAACUCUUUCAGCUUCAGACAUGCAGGUGGACAAGCAGCCAUUGGCUAGUCAUUUUAUUACAAUGUGAGCAUUUUAAAGGGUUUCUGCCUAGAUUUAUUGAUGCAUGACAUGAUCUGCAUUACUCAGAGUACAGAAUAUGUACUCAAGUCAAAGUGAAUAGCUUCAGGUACACUUCUGCUGAAAAAAUAAAUUCAGAUGGGAACUGCACGUUUGGAUCUCAUUGUGGCGUCUGUUGUUGCUGGAUCUCCAUUAUGACUCACUGGUUGAAACAGACAUCCUUUCACCAUUACUAUAUUUUAACAACAAUAAUUGGUUGAGAUCUAUAAGCGAUAAGUGAUUUUUCAUGAACAUAAAAUAUAAAUGUAUAAUCUUCAGGUUCUUUCUUUAAAACAAUAUUUUAGUCUGCUACCCUUGUCAUCUUUGAAUGUCUAGCCUUUUGUAGCCUGAAAAAUAAACCAUGAAAACACA